GCUGGCGGCACGCCUAACACAUGCAAGUCGAACGAAGUAGCAAUACUUAGUGGCAGACGGGUGAGUAACAUGUAGGUAUCUACCCUUUGGCCUGGAAUAACACGAGGAAACUUGUGCUAAUACUGGAUAAGUCUUUACGGAGAAAGCUUUAUGCACCAAUGGAUGAGCCUGCACUUGAUUAGUUAGUUGGUAAGGUAAUGGCUUACCAAGACUUUGAUCAAUAGCUGAUUUGAGAGGAUGAUCAGCCACAUUGGGACUGAGACACGGCCCAAACUCCUACGGGAGGCAGCAGUGGGGAAUCUUGCACAAUGGAGGAAACUCUGAUGCAGCGAUGCCGCGUGAGUGAAGAAGGCCUUUGGGUUGUAAAGCUCUUUCGUCGGGGAAGAAAAUGACUGUACCCGAAUAAGAAGGUCCGGCUAACUUCGUGCCAGCAGCCGCGGUAAUACGAAGGGACCUAGCGUAGUUCGGAAUUACUGGGCUUAAAGAGUUCGUAGGUGGUUGAAAAAGUUGGUGGUGAAAUCCCAGAGCUUAACUCUGGAACUGCCAUCAAAACUUUUCAGCUAGAGUAUGAUAGAGGAAAGCAGAAUUUCUAGUGUAGAGGUGAAAUUCGUAGAUAUUAGAAAGAAUACCAAUUGCGAAGGCAGCUUUCUGGAUCAUUACUGACACUGAGGAACGAAAGCAUGGGUAGCGAAGAGGAUUAGAUACCCUCGUAGUCCAUGCCGUAAACGAUGUGUGUUAGACGUUGGAAAUUUAUUUUCAGUGUCGCAGUGAAAACGAUAAACACACCGCCUGGGGAGUACG
rnacentral:rRNA from 1 species